rnacentral:rRNA from 1 species
AAUCAACGCUGGCGGCGUGCCUAACACAUGCAAGUCGAGCGAGAAAGGGGGGCAACCCCCGAGUACAGCGGCAGACGGGUGAGUAACACGUGAACAAUCUGCCCUCGAGUGGGGAACAACACCGCGAAAGCGGUGCUAAUACCGCAUAAGAUCCCGGGAUCGCAUGACCUUGGGACCAAAGACGCAAGUCGCUUGAGGAGGAGUUCGCGCCUGAUUAGCUAGUUGGUGAGGUAACGGCCCACCAAGGCAACGAUCAGUAGCCGGCCUGAGAGGGUGAACGGCCACACUGGAACUGAGACACGGUCCAGACUCCUACGGGAGGCAGCAGUGGGGAAUUUUGCGCAAUGGGCGAAAGCCUGACGCAGCAACGCCGCGUGGAGGAUGAAGGCCUUCGGGUCGUAAACUCCUGUCAGGGGGGACGAAACCGGGCAACCGGCUGACUGUACCCCCGGAGGAAGCCACGGCUAACUCCGUGCCAGCCGCCGCAGUAA